AGAGUUUGAUCCUGGCUCAGGACGAACGCUGGCGGCGUGCCUAAUACAUGCAAGUCGAACGAACUCUGGUAUUGAUUGGUGCUUGCAUCAUGAUUUACAUUUGAGUGAGUGGCGAACUGGUGAGUAACACGUGGGAAACCUGCCCAGAAGCGGGGGAUAACACCUGGAAACAGAUGCUAAUACCGCAUAACAACUUGGACCGCAUGGUCCGAGCUUGAAAGAUGGCUUCAGCUAUCACUUUUGGAUGGUCCCGCGGCGUAUUAGCUAGAUGGUGGGGUAACGGCUCACCAUGGCAAUGAUACGUAGCCGACCUGAGAGGGUAAUCGGCCACAUUGGGACUGAGACACGGCCCAAACUCCUACGGGAGGCAGCAGUAGGGAAUCUUCCACAAUGGACGAAAGUCUGAUGGAGCAACGCCGCGUGAGUGAAGAAGGGUUUCGGCUCGUAAAACUCUGUUGUUAAAGAAGAACAUAUCUGAGAGUAACUGUUCAGGUAUUGACGGUAUUUAACCAGAAAGCCACGGCUAACUACGUGCCAGCAGCCGCGGUAAUACGUAGGUGGCAAGCGUUGUCCGGAUUUAUUGGGCGUAAAGCGAGCGCAGGCGGUUUUUUAAGUCUGAUGUGAAAGCCUUCGGCUCAACCGAAGAAGUGCAUCGGAAACUGGAAAACUUGAGUGCAGAAGAGGACAGUGGAACUCCAUGUGUAGCGGUGAAAUGCGUAGAUAUAUGGAAGAACACCAGUGGCGAAGGCGGCUGUCUGGUCUGUAACUGACGCUGAGGCUCGAAAGUAUGGGUAGCAAACAGGAUUAGAUACCCUGGUAGUCCAUACCGUAAACGAUGAAUGCUAAGUGUUGGAGGGUUUCCGCCCUUCAGUGCUGCAGCUAACGCAUUAAGCAUUCCGCCUGGGGAGUACGGCCGCAAGGCUGAAACUCAAAGGAAUUGACGGGGGCCCGCACAAGCGGUGGAGCAUGUGGUUUAAUUCGAAGCUACGCGAAGAACCUUACCAGGUCUUGACAUACUAUGCAAAUCUAAGAGAUUAGACGUUCCCUUCGGGGACAUGGAUACAGGUGGUGCAUGGUUGUCGUCAGCUCGUGUCGUGAGAUGUUGGGUUAAGUCCCGCAACGAGCGCAACCCUUAUUAUCAGUUGCCAGCAUUAAGUUGGGCACUCUGGUGAGACUGCCGGUGACAAACCGGAGGAAGGUGGGGAUGACGUCAAAUCAUCAUGCCCCUUAUGACCUGGGCUACACACGUGCUACAAUGGAUGGUACAACGAGUUGCGAACUCGCGAGAGUAAGCUAAUCUCUUAAAGCCAUUCUCAGUUCGGAUUGUAGGCUGCAACUCGCCUACAUGAAGUCGGAAUCGCUAGUAAUCGCGGAUCAGCAUGCCGCGGUGAAUACGUUCCCGGGCCUUGUACACACCGCCCGUCACACCAUGAGAGUUUGUAACACCCAAAGUCGGUGGGGUAACCUUUUAGGAACCAGCCGCCUAAGGUGGGACAGAUGAUUAGGGUGAAGUCGUAACAAGGUAGCCGUAGGAGAACCUGCGGCUG
rnacentral:rRNA from 1 species